rnacentral:rRNA from 1 species
AAACGACUCUCGGCAACGGAUAUCUCGGCUCACGCAUCGAUGAAGAACGCAGCAAAAUGCGAUACUUGGUGUGAAUUGCAGAAUCCCGUGAACCAUCGAGUUUUUGAACGCAAGUUGCGCCCGAAGCCUUUUGGUCGAGGGCACGUCUGCCUGGGCGUCACGCA